rnacentral:rRNA from 1 species
AGAAAACAACCGUGAUUCCCUGAGUAGCGGCGAGCGAAACGGGAAGAGCCCAGCACCGAAUCUCGUGCCUGAUUGCAGCGGGCACCGAGACAUGUGGUGUUAGGGAAGAGUCGUUUUUGCCCCAUGUUUACGUACGCUGGUCCAAGUUCUAUCGAAUGCGGCUACCUCGUGCCCAUAGAGGGUGCAAGGCCCGUAGGACCGGUGCGCGGCACGUGGGAGCGGCUUUUCCUAUGGAGUCGGGUUGUUUGAAAGUACAGCCCAAAGUUGGAGGUAAACUCCUCCAAAGGCUAAAUACGACCAUGAGACCGAUAGUGAACAAGUACCGCGAGGGAAAGUUGAAAAGAACUCUGAAGAGAGAGUUCAAGAGUGCGUGAAACCGCUCAGGGGUAAACAAAUGGAAUUGCCGAAGCUCGAACGAGGAGAUCUCAGGAUGUCCAUUUUUGGCGGUCACGUGGUGGCGGAUGGUAGUUGGGCUGACUCUCCUUCGGGAUUGAGUUUGCUUGCUGCUGUUGCCAGUCGCCAAUGAUGUGCCAGCAUGGGUGUUCGUAUGGCUCCUUCAGUAGGACGUUGCGACCUGUUGGAAUUGUAUAAGUGGUUUUCGUGCGGCCCUGGGGUUGUGCUUCUAUGUCUGUUUACAUUGCGCUGGCUCUCGGGCUGAUGCAGUGGGCAGGCUGGAACGGGGCUUGCCUCUGGGGGUAUGUUCUGUUCCAAGCCCUUUGGGUGAGCCGUUGAUUACCCUCCGACAGUUUUUUCUGAUUGUGCACUGGUCCAGUUGAGCUCCGCAAGGGGCUCCUGGUGAGCUGAAGUAAUGGCAGCAGUGUUGAGGCGCGCAAUGUGGUUUGAGCCCUUGGGCUCCCUGUUGUGUGAAAAGCGUCUGCUUGCAGGCGUCCUUGAUGCUGGGUACUUGCUGUUGCUUUGUGUUCAACCGUGCACAGUGGAGUCUGCGACGAGUACAGUUGUGAUUCCAUUUGACCCGUCUUGAAACACGGACCAAGGAGUCUAACAUGUGCGCGAGUCUCGGUGCUAACAAACACCAAGGCGUAGUGAAAGCGAAGGCUAGCCUUGUGCUGGCUGAGGGGAGAUCUGUUGUUGAUGUAACGUCGCAGCGGCGCAUCCCCGGGGCGUUUGCGAAGGAUGCUGGCUUGCUGGCAUCCGGGCAGGCGCACCUAGAGCGCACAUGUUGGGACCCGAAAGAUGGUGACCUUUGCCCGGCCAGGACGAAGCCAGGGGAAACUCUGGUGGAGGUCCGCAGCGAUUCUGACGUGCAAAUCGAUCGUCUGAGCCGGGUAAAGGGGCGAAAGACUAAUCGAACCAUCUAGUAGCUGGUUCCGUCCGAAGUUUCCCUCAGGAUAGCUGGCACUCGCUCUUGAAGGAGUCUCAUCCGGUAAAGCGACUGAUUAGAGGCUUUGGGGUCGCAAUGACCUCGACCUAUUCUCAAACUUUAAAUGGGUGAGAAGCAGAGCCUUCCUAAAUGGUCGAGGCUCUGCGUCUUCUUCGGGAUCCACGAGUGCCUAGUGGGCCAUUUUUGGUAAGCAGAACUGGCGCUGUGGGAUGAACCAAACGCCGGGUUAAGGUGCCCGACUUGACGCGCAUGAGACACCAUUAAAGGCGUCGGUGGCUAAAGACAGCAGGACGGUGGCCAUGGAAGUCGGCAUCCGCUAAGGAGUGUGUAACUACUCACCUGCCGAAGCGACCGGCCCUGAAAAUGGAUGGCGCUGCAGCGUCGGACCUAUACCCAGCCGCCGGGACAGAAGUCGGGUGGCUUUGCCUCGGUGAAGUAACUCGUUUGAAGUCCCGGUGAGUAGGACGGAGCCUGCCGGUGUGCGUCGAAGGGGACUGGGCGUGAGCCCGCCUGGAGCCGCCGGUGCUGCAGAUCUUGGUGGUAGUAGCAAAUACUCUGGAGAGGCCCCGGAGGACUGAUGCGGAGAAGGGUUUCGCGUGAACAGCUGUUGGACGCGAGUCAGCCGGUCCUAAGCCCUAGGGGAAACCCGAGAUGGAGAGGCGGCGGCAAGACAGAAACCCUUGCUAAAGCAACUCGUCGCAAAAAGGGCGAAAGGGAAUCCGGCUAAAAUUCCGGAGCCUGGCAGCGGAACCGUUGGCCCUUUGGGUCGCGAGCCCCAGGUGACAGUAGCUUGCUGCUGUUGCCAGGUUCGUCGCGGUAACGCGACAAAACUCGGAGACGCCGGCGGUGGCCCCGGGAAGAGUUAUCUUUUCUCCAAAAGCGGCCGAGGCCCUGGAAACCUCUUGGAGGGAGAGAGGGUUUUGGUUACGCGAGGAACGUCGCCAACACGGGGCGGCGUCCGGGGUUCUACCGUCAGGCCCUUGAAAAUCCGAGCGAGGGGCACGCGAAGGUGUCGCGCCAGACCGUACCAAUAUCCGCAGCAGGUCUCCGAGGUGCACAGCCUCUAGUUGCUAGAUCAAUGUAGGUAAGGGAAGUCGGCAAACCAGAUCCGUACCUUCGGAAGAAGGAUUGGCUCUGAGACUCGGGGCGUGGGUCGGG